CUACGGGAGGCUCCAGUGAGGAAUUUUGCGCAAUGGGGGCAACCCUGACGCAGCAACGCCGCGUGAGUGAAGAAGGCCUUUGGGUCGUAAAGCUCUGUCGACAGGGAAGAAGUUAUUGUUGUUUAACAGAUGACAGUAUUGACGGUACCUGUAGAGGAAGCACCGGCUAACUCCGUGCCAGCAGCCGCGGUAAUACGGGGGGUGCAAGCGUUAUUCGGAAUUAUUGGGCGUAAAGGGCGCGUAGGCGGUCUUGUCGGUCAGACGUGAAAGCCCAGGGCUCAACUCUGGACGUGCAUUUGAAACAGCAAGACUUGAGUACGGGAGAGGAAAGCGGAAUUCCUGGUGUAGAGGUGAAAUUCGUAGAUAUCAGGAGGAACACCGAUGGCGAAGGCAGCUUUCUGGACCGAUACUGACGCUGAGGCGCGAAGGUGUGGGUAGCGAACGGGAUUAGAUACCCCGGUAGUC
rnacentral:rRNA from 1 species